GCCAGGUUAGUGUGCGAGGAGGGAGAGUGGGGCUUGGUUUGGACUGGAGGGAGAGAGGGAAGGGCGACGAGAUUGUAACCGCCCCCAGUGUUCCGAUCUCACCCCGGCUCGCUGGCCUGUCUUGUCUUGUACGUUUGGACAGGUACGUGGAUUUGAAAGGUUUGGCGGGAUAUGGGCUAAUCGCAGGCAAAUGGGACCAGUUCAGGUUCAAACACUGAUCCCUGAUGCAUUCGGUGCUCUCGAUGUGACCUCCUUUGUCUCACCUGGAACGGUUUUAGCAGUCCCUGAAUGGAGGCGAGUGAGGGAGGAGGCAUUGGAACAGGUUUUGCACCCCCUGCGAUCACAAGGGAAGGUGCCUGAGGAGGGAUACGCGAUACGAUACGAUACAUAGAAACAUAGAAAAUAGGUGCAGGAGGACACCAUUCGGCCCUUUGAGCCAGCACCACCAUUCAAUAUGAUCAUGGCUGAUCAUCCAAAAUCAAUACCCUGUUCCUACUUUCUCCCCAUAUCCCUUGAUUCUGUUAGCCUUAAGAGCUAUAUCUAACUCUCUCUUGAAAACAUCCAGUGAAUUGGCCUCCACUGCCUUCUGCGGCAGAGAAUUCCACAGAUGCACAACUCUGGGUGAAAAAGUUUUUUUUCAUCUCAGUCCUAAAUGGCCUACCCCUUAUUCUUAAACUGUGGCCCCUGGUUCUUGACUUCCCCAACAUGGGGAACGUUUUUCCUGCAUCUAGCCUGAAUAUCCUGAAUAUAAGCCCAAUAUGAUACGAUACGAUAGAACUUUAUUUAUCCCAGAUGGGAAAUUUUACAGGGAGGAAGUAAAACAACUAGUGGACUGGUACGGCAACAACAAUUUAGCAUUAAAUGUCGACAAAACAAAGGAGAUGAUUGUCGACUUCAGGAGGGCGCAGCCAAAACACACACCCCUCAACAUCAGUGACACCACAGUGGAGAGAGUGGAGAGCAUAAAGUUCCUCGGAGUGCAAAUUACAGGCAGUCUCACCUGGUCCAGGAACACCACUGGGACCGUCAAACGGGCCCAUCAGUGACUGCACUUCCUGAGGAAACUCAAACAGGCCUCACUCCCCACCAACAACCUCAGGACUUUUUACAGGGGCACGGUGGAGUCUGUACUCACGUACUGCAUAAACACGUGGUACUCCAACUGUAACUGCUCAGACAGGAAGGCUCUGCAGAGGGUAGUGAGGGGAGCAGAGAGGAUCAUUGGCGUCUCCCUCCGCUCGGUACAAGAACUGUUCCUGAGCCGCUGUCUGAAAAAAGCUCUGAGAAUAGCUAAGGACAAACUGCACCCCCUCCACACACACCUGGAUCUCCUGCCAUCAGGCAAGAGAUACCGUAGCAUCAAAGCCCGGACUACCAGACUGCUAAACAGCUUCCUGCCACAGGCUGUGAGGCUGCUAAACAGUCACUCUGUACUCAGUCACCUGAUUCUGCGGCUUUGCACUGACAUUUUAAUAACUCUGGCACUGGCCACUUAAAUCAGCUGCCCUAGACAUUUUAAUGAUUGUUUUUACUGUAGUUUAAUGUUGCUGUUUUACCUGCUUUUAACUAUUUAUACUGUUUCAUCAGGGACUGGAUUGUUUUUACUGUUAUUAUGUGUGAAAUGUUUUAAGUUUCAUGUGCGAUGCUCCGGUAUUCCCUGGGAAACGUCUUCUCAUUUUGCACUGUACAACUGUUGCUUUGCAAGAUGACAAUAAAGGUUGAUUGAUUUGUGA